rnacentral:rRNA from 1 species
GGUUUUUUACUAUACAAGGUAUUGAAUAAGGUUUUAAUUGAAUGCUAAAAGAAUGGAAUAUCAAAGAAUAACUUUCUUAAAAUUAAAAAUUGAAAUUUUUUUAAUUUGUGUAAAAACAAUUAUAUAAAUUAAAGACAAGAAGACCCUAAGAAUUUUUAAAAUUUAAAUUAACACAUUUUUGUUUUAAUUAAAUUUUAACUGGGGCGGUUAAAAAAUAUUAAAAACUUUUUAAUUUUGAAAAUGACCCAUUAUUAAUGAAAAUAUGAUAAAAUACUCUAGGGAUAACAGCGUUAUAUUUUUUGAUAGAUCAUAUUGACAAAAAAGUUUGCGACCUCGAUGUUGGAUUAGGAUACUUUUUUAAUGAAGAUAUUAAAAUAAGAAGUUUGUUCAACUUUUAAAUUCCUACAUGAUCUGAUUUUAGACCGAA